rnacentral:lncRNA from 1 species
AUGCCCCGGUUUUCCAAAUGCCUGAUGGGAGGCUGGGAGCAGCUGGAUCCAACCCCAGCCCCAGACAGGAUCAGGUGGUGUGUCCGGAUCACACCUCUGGGCUGGCCGGAACGUCCCGGGCUCAAGCGGAGACCUGCGAGAAGCACAAAACAUUCCAGGUUUAGGGCCAGCCUGGCCAGAGGUGCCAGUUCCCUCCUGCGCACUCCCACCCGGAGCUGCAGCAGCCCAGCUGCGCAGGCGGAACGUGCACAGCUCAGCCGGCACACGGGGGCUCAGGGACGCCCCCGGUCAACGCUCCCACGCGCACCUGGCCACCACCUGCCAAACCACGGCUUUCGGGCGAGGAGCUGGCUCGGUGUGGGCUCACCUCCGGGGCCUCGGUGGAAAAUUCUCCGAUGUGUUCUGAUGUUGAAACAGUCCAGAAGAGAAGGGAAAAACUGAAAUCCCAGGAAAACAAAGUUCAACUCUCUGUCUCCCUCUGGAGAAAAGGAGCCGAAAGCUGGCUGAAAAGCAAGAAGGGCGCUUCCUCUGCUCUUGUUAUCACAACAGGAGAACAUAGAGGAGUGCGUAUCUGUGUUCUUGAACAACUGUUUUGAAAAGUUCAUUCGGUUUUUUCUCUUCCCUCUCUCGGGCUCAGUUUAAAGGCACAGAAUGGCACAGAAUUAAUUUCUGGGCAUAGAGCAGCGAUACGGUGAAGAAGGGGCAGUCAAUAACUAACUCAUGUAAGCACAAGUUAACUAUUAGGAGACAGCAAAUGUUAGUUCAGACAGAAGAUGUUAAUUACAAAACCUAAGAAGCCAAAUUCACCCUAAUCUUGUCAAGAUAGAGGGGACAAGGAUCAUCUCAGAGACUGCUGAAUCAUUCCUCAAAGGACUACGCAUGCCCAGGGAGAAAGGUGAAAAGUUCAUGAGAGGAUGACUACUGGCCUUCAUCAGAAAAGACCCCCGAGGAAGAGGAGAGGUCUUCCUCAGCGCGACCACCAGGACACACAGCGCAUGUGUGGCCCAUAUGCUAAUGACUGCCGAUAAAUAAUUUGUAUAACCACACCUGUCCCAAGGAAUGUGAUGAAUAUUCAUAAUUUAGCCCAUAAUACUGUGUUGUAGAGAGCACCAGGUGUGUGUGUUUGGAGGAGCGAUCCCCACACACCCGGCGCGCCGAAUAAAGCAAAUACCCACUUCUCUGACUCUGUCUCUCAAGUGUCUCCUGGCCCGGUUGUGGCAUGAUUCAAUGGGAUACACAUCAUAAAGUCAUCCCAGGACAUUGACCAUCACGUGUUCACAUCGUGGUGUAUGGUGGUUGGUUGAAUUAUGUUUGUUGAGCUUUAAAACUAUGUAAACUGAUAACUGGCUAACUGCUUAAAAACACCAGGUUUUUGCAAUAAAGUGGCUCUCCUUUGCACCUGCCUGGGGACUCUGCAUCACUUCUUAUCACAACAGCUACUGUCUUAGAAACGAGCAUUAAUGUCUUUGAAAUGGGUCUUAAUAUCCCUAUGAACAUCCACUUGCUUAAGUUUGUUACAGCACUCAGGUGGUUUGACAGUUUGAGUUCCUGAACUUUAGGGUAAUAGGACAAACGGGUCUGCACAAAGUCUCUUGCAGAUGGUCUGAACU